rnacentral:misc_RNA from 1 species
GUUUAUCGUAAACAAGCACACGCCGAAGCAAAACUUGCUUCAAAUUCAACUAAAAAUGCGUUAAACUGGCUCAAAUUUCUUACUGCCAACGAACUGGAUAAUCACGGAAGAAAGAUGGAGAAGCAAUACUCUGUACAGUUCUUCACAUCAUUUGUGGAGAACCUCCAGAGAUUGUGUCAAAACUACAUCAGCUACGACCAAAUGGUGGAAGUGAGUGGCUACAUCAGUGUAGAAAUUGAUAAUGCCAAAAAGGAGAGGUACGUUCUCAGUGAACUGGUGCAGAGUACUGGCAAUGUCAUCAGUGAAAGCUACUGCACCAAGGUGUUCAAGAACUGCCCUCUGCCUGUCCAGAGAAGUCCUGGUCAAAGAAGAGAACCACCCGUUAUGUCUCAGAUGAGUCCAGCUGCAAAGAGACCUCUCAACCAGACUAGUCCUCGGUUAAACAGAAUGGGGCAGAGUCCACAGAUGAACAGGCAGAUGAGUCCAACAGGUGUGUUGCGGUCAAGUAAUGAUAACAACCAGAGACCAUCAUUCAAUCAAAGAUUGAACCAAGCAUCAGGAUUUGGUGCUGGGAGAGGAGGUCCUCAAAGGAUGAACCCAAAUUUCUCUAAUAGUGGAAAUAUGAGAGGAGGCAUGCAACCCAGUCAGAGGACAGGGAAUCAGGUGCCAGGUGUAAACCCAGUUGGGAGACCUAGCUUAGGAGGCAACCCCCCGGAUGAUGAACCCAUCACAGCGGAUGAACCCACAGGGUGGGGGAAUAAGGCAACCAGGCCAGAUGUCGUCACCUGGGCAGAGACCAGGUGUGAACCCAAGUCAGAGGAUGGGACAGCAAAGUAGUAGUGUUAACUCGAUACAAGCUCGUAGGACCUUUGGACCUGGCCAGAGAACUCAGCCACAACAGUCCAGAUCCCCAGUCGAUGAUUCUGAUGAGUUGGAAGUCAUCUCAUUUGUUCCUCCUCCUAGAAGAUCUGUGGGUGAAGCUUCAACAUCAUCUCUGUCCAGUGGAACCAGGAGUCCUUCAACUCCAGAAACAUCAUCAGUUACAAGCAACAGGCCACCAUUCCCAUCAGGAAACAGAUCUGGCAGCAAUAACCCUUCUUCACAACCAACGUCGCAGGCACAAAAUAAUUCACAGUCGAUGGUGUUACCUGUAUCACUUGUUCAGAAUGUUGCUCAGCCUACUGCACCUCAGACAUCAAGGAACCAAAGUAAUCCAGGGCAGCAAUCUUCACAGAAUCAAAGCAUGAGUAAUUCUGGGUCCCAAGUGUCCCAGGCUUCACAGCAGCUGGGACAUCAGAGUUACCAAGGCCAGAACACGCAGCAGAACAUGCAGCAGAACAUGCAGCAGAACAUGCCACAACCAUCUCAACCAUCAGAGCCCAUGUCACAACCACGGCCAUCACGACAACAGAUAGUGCAACAGAUGUUAGAAGCCAGAGCUAAUCGCAUCUUGCCCCCUACCUUACCACAGCAGUCCUCACAACCAGUUUCACAGCAGAGCUCUCAACCCAUGCAACAGCAAGGAACACACACCAUGGCAUCCCAGCACUCGUCCCAGCCAGUGUCUCAAAAGUCUACCCCGCCUGUUCCACAGCAACUAUAUCAAAAUCAAAACUACCCACAGAUGCCCCAACCCCCUCACACGCCCCCUGGACAGAUAAUGUCCAGCCCUUUACCAGACACUAACAGAAAUGUCUGGGAUCAGAUGAACCCGCCUCCAAGUUAUCCUUCAGGAGUAGACAAAAAAGAUCCAGGACUUUUGGGGUUAAACCUCCCAGGUAUGGAGACAAAUGUUGAUUCUACUGCUCCAAUGGAAAUCAGUGCUAGGAACUCGUUCAUGGAUUCAGUUUCUGAUAGAUCGUCUCUGGCUGUGUCCUCAUCUGCACCAACAGUUGCGACAUCAGCUCACUUACCUUUUCCAGAGGACCCUUUAGGAAGUUUACAGAUCUCUAAUGUUGUUUCCCUUCCACAAGGCACUCUCCCAGACAUCGAGUCAUCACGCAUACCAGCUUCUUUCCCAGAACUGAAUCCAUCAAGCACCCCAUCCAUCAUCGCUGAAGCAUUUGCCUCUUUAGAUCCAGCGACUCUCUCUGAAGCUACAACUUCAGAACUUCCAAUGACAUCAGAGGUGAACUCAUCAAUGUCUUUGGACAAGUUAGCAGAUGAAGAUGAUUUACCCAGUAAAAAGGCCAGACUAGGCUUGGAUACAUCCGACUUGGUCGGAGGCCCAACCUCAACUGUUGCAUCAAACUCCUCCAAACCAAUGGUACCGAUUGGAAGAAAACUGAAAGAAUUUGCAGCAAAGAAACGAGCUAAACGAGGCCGGCCAAGACUUGACAAACCCCCAAAUAUCGACAAACCAGACAUGAGUGAUGGAGAAAGCGUAGCUGAUUUUGAUGCUGAAGUGGAUGUAGAUCCAACCAAUAUGACUCUAAGAAGCCGGGGAAGGAAUCCGCUGCAUGCGAGCCUCCUACAAUGAAGACUCAGACAGUGAUUCAAGUCUGCCUGAAGCCUUCCGUUUGAACUUUGAUCCUGCAGUCUCUACAUCAGCUGGAUUGGUGUUGUCUGGGGAGGGUUUACAAGAUGAUGAAAAGGAUUUGGGCAAGGAUUUGGGAGGAGCGGGAGCAGAUACAGCGCCAGCGCCAGUUGAUGGCAAUCCAGGUGACUUUUGUACCCCUGUUUACAUGGCUUAGGAUUAUACAUGCUAAUUAAACCUGUUCUGAUAAAGUGGCCCAUUCUACAGAUAUUGCUGAUUCAAGGAAGACUCCGGAUGUCCUGUCUGAAGCUGACAAUGAGAGCUA